CUCCUUGCCUUCCCUCUUAGGACCAAACUCCCAGCUGGGGCCUCGGCGUCUGACCGCCAAAGAGCGGGUGCCUGGUUCCUGCGGAGGCUGCCGGGCGGGUGCCGAGGUUGCCGAGAUGCGGGAGGUUUGAACACAAGGAUGGGACAGAGGCGAGGAUCGGGGCUCCUGGGUGGCAGCGGCGGUAACCUGGGCUCCAGGGUAACGGAGGCGGAGGCCUAGACUGCACUACGAAGAGACCGCAGCCAAUCAUGAUGACUCUACCCGAGCUCCCAUUGGCUUCUGUCUCCAGACGGCCCUUUUUAUUGGCUUCAGUGGAACUGGAAGGCGGGACGGCGAGUGCGGGAGAAGGUCUCCAUUGGCCGACCGCUCUAGCUGUAGCGGAGACCCCCAAGUAGGGAAAUUGGGGCAAAACGCGGAGCGCUCCAGGCUCCUACGGGCUGUGCGGUGCCAGGGCUCGACUGCUGAGCGUCGUGGGCUCCGAGAGGGACGCGGGCGGAGGGCAAAGUGGGUUCAUGAUAUGAAUUGUAAAAUUGGCGACUGCGUAAUGUAAAACACUUAACAAUUGCUUAGAUUUCCUUUGGGAAAUAACUUGCUUUUAAAUUGUAAACAAAUUACAAACAAACUGCUAGUGCUUCUGGAUCUUCUUACCGAAAUGGCUGAUUCAGGAGGAUGCGGGGAGCGUCAGAUCAGGAUUGCUGAAGGAGAGCUGAGAAUGAAACCACCAUUUAUUCAGCACUCAGAAUGCUCCAGGCAGUGUAAUCUCAUUCCAUCUUCAUUCAUGACUCCAGACAGGUAUGGCCACCAGUGCUCCAGAUUUACAUUCUAUUUACCUCACAACCCCAGUGGAAAAAGAAUAUCUCUUUCCUGAUUGGUCCAGCAGAAAUCUUGGUAUUAACUCUGACUGCCCACACUUGAAUAUGAACUAUUAUGACUCUGAAAAUGAAGUAACAUCAUGAGAAGAGGAAACCAUAUGGAAUUAUUACACUUCUCUUUCCACAUGAACAGCCUGGCUAUUCUCUGCCCUUCUGUACUAAGGCCUAUCCUCUGGAAUCAUAGGGUGGCCUGGAAGCCUCAAAAGGAAAUUCUCCCUUGUGGUCAGAGGGAGGAACUGCUGUCUUCCAUCACCCUUCUUCACACUGCAAAUAUGACUUGGAAUAGAGUCCAUGCAAAAAUAGUUUUAUGCUUCUGAAUGGGUGCAGGACAAAAAAGGUGUUGUGUGGGCCAAUAGUGUCUAUAACUGCAAGUUCUACCAGUUCUCAAACUAUAGAAUGUUUCAGAAAUGCCAGGGAGCGGAUUAAAAAUGUUACUUUAAUCUGACUCAGUUCUGGGGGGUAAUCCAAAAAACACGUUUUUAUCUAGACCCCCAGGUGGUCCUGACAUAGGUGGCUGAAUGAACUCCCCC
rnacentral:lncRNA from 1 species